GAUGAAGAACGUAGCGAAAUGCGAUACGUAAUGUGAAUUGCAGAAUUCAGUGAAUCAUCGAAUCUUUGAACGCAUAUUGCGCUCUUUGGUAUUCCGGAGAGCAUGCUUGUUUGAGUAUCAGUAAACACCUCAACUUCCAUAUCUUUUUUGAAAUGGGAGUUGGACUUGAGUGAUCCCAACGCUUUUCCUCACCGAAAAGUGGCGGGUUACUUGAAAUGCAGGUGCAGCUGGACUUUUCUCUGAGCUAUAAGCAUAUCUAUUUAGUCUGCCUAAAAAACAGAUUAUUACCUUUGCUGCAGCUAACAUAAAGGAGAUUAGUUCUUGUGCUGACUGAUGCAGGAUUCACAAAGACGGCUUCGGCCGACUUUGUAAACUCGAUCUCAAAUCAAGUAAGACUACCCGCUGAACUUAAGCAUAUCAAUAAGCGGAGGA
rnacentral:misc_RNA from 1 species